UCGAGUUAGGGUCCUCGUGGCCCGACCUCCAACCCUUUGUCUACUUAACCACGUUGCUUCGGUGGGCCCGCGAAAGCCGCCGGGGGACCCUCGGGAUCCCUGGCCAGCGCCCACCGGUAGCCCUUCAAAAUUCUUGAUUAACUGUGUCUUGUCUAAGUUAAUAUUAAAUAAAAGCAAA
rnacentral:misc_RNA from 1 species